AACGCGAAGAACCUUACCUGGGCUUGACAUGCGGGUUAAGGCGUGGAGACACGCUGACCUUCGGGUCCCGCACAGGUGGUGCAUGGCUGUCGUCAGCUCGUGUCGUGAGAUGUUGGGUUAAGUCCCGCAACGAGCGCAACCCUUGUCCUAUGUUGCCAGCGGGUAAUGCCGGGGACUCGUAGGAGACUGCCGGGGUCAACUCGGAGGAAGGUGGGGACGACGUCAAGUCAUCAUGCCCCUUACGUCCAGGGCUGCACACAUGCUACAAUGGCCGGUACAAAGGGCUGCUAUCCCGCGAGGGUGAGCGAAUCCCAAAAAGCCGGUCUCAGUUCGGAUUGCAGUCUGCAACUCGACUGCAUGAAGUCGGAGUCGCUAGUAAUCCCGGAUCAGCAACGCCGGGGUGAAUACGUUCCCGGGCCUUGUACACACCGCUCGCGA
rnacentral:rRNA from 1 species